AUACGUAGGGUGCGAGCGUUGUCCGGAAUUACUGGGCGUAAAGAGCUCGUAGGUGGUUUGUCGCGUCGUCUGUGAAAUUCCGGGGCUUAACUCCGGGCGUGCAGGCGAUACGGGCAUAACUUGAUUACUGUAGGGGAGACUGGAAUUCCUGGUGUAGCGGUGAAAUGCUCAGAUAUCAGGAGGAACACCGGUGGCGAGGGCGGGUCUCUGGGCAGUAACUGACGCUGAGGAGCGAAAGCAUGGGUAGCGAACAGGAUUAGAUACCCUGGUAGUCCAUGCCGUAAACGGUGGGCGCUAGGUGUAGGGGUCUUCCACGACUUCUGUGCCGUAGCUAACGCAUUAAGCGCCCCGCCUGGGGAGUACGGCCGCAAGGCUAAAACUCAAAGGAAUUGACGGGG
rnacentral:rRNA from 1 species